rnacentral:rRNA from 1 species
UACGGAGGGGGCUAGCGUUGUUCGGAAUUAUUGGGCGUAAAGCGCGUGUAGGCGGCUUUGCAAGUCGGGUGUGAAAGCCCUCAGCUCAACCGAGGAAGUGCGCCCGAAACUGCAGAGCUUGAGUACCGGAGAGGAUGGCGGAAUUCCCCAAGUAGAGGUGAAAUUCGUAGAUAUGGGGAGGAACACCGGUGGCGAAGGCAGCCAUCUGGACGGUCACUGACGCUGAGACGCGAAAGCGUGGGUAGCAAACAGG